rnacentral:lncRNA from 1 species
GGACCGAGCUCCAAGAACCACUGUUCUAAGGCGCUCCUCCGGUGGAAGCAGUGGUUAUGCAUUUGAGGUGUUGAAGGAUGCAAGGAAUCUCUCAUUGCACGGACCCUCUGUUGAUCUUCAACUCAGAUGGAGGUGUUAUGUGUAUCCUUAUCACACCCUCCCCCAAGAACUAUUGAGGGAACUAAAGAAUUCUAGCAGGACAGGGAAGAAUACCAUUUUCCCCAGAAUUUCUGGUACAUGGAUGAUGAUCAAUAAAUACUUAAAAUUGUGCUGA